CCUACGGGAGGCAGCAGUGAGGAAUAUUGGUCAAUGGACGAGAGUCUGAACCAGCCAAGUAGCGUGAAGGAUGACUGCCCUAUGGGUUGUAAACUUCUUUUAUAUGGGAAUAAAAUGUUCCACGUGUGGGCUUUUGUAUGUACCAUAUGAAUAAGGAUCGGCUAACUCCGUGCCAGCAGCCGCGGUAAUACGGAGGAUCCGAGCGUUAUCCGGAUUUAUUGGGUUUAAAGGGAGCGUAGGUGGAUUGUUAAGUCAGUUGUGAAAGUUUGCGGCUCAACCGUAAAAUUGCAGUUGAAACUGGCAGUCUUGAGUACAGUAGAGGUGUGCGGAAUGCGUGGUGUAGCGGUGAAAUGCUUAGAUAUCGCGAAGAACUCCGAUUGCGAAGGCAGCUCACUGGACUGCAACUGACACUGAGGCUCGAAAGUGUGGGUAUCAAACAGGAUUAGAUACCCGAGUAGUC
rnacentral:rRNA from 1 species